GACGAACGCUGGCGGCGUGCCUAAUACAUGCAAGUAGAACGCACAGUUUAUACCGUAGCUUGCUACACCAUACACUGUGAGUUGCGAACGGGUGAGUAACGCGUAGGUAACCUGCCUGGUAGCGGGGGAUAACUAUUGGAAACGAUAGCUAAUACCGCAUAAUAUUGAUUAUUGCAUGAUAAUUGAUUGAAAGAUGCUAUUGCAUCACUACCAGAUGGACCUGCGUUGUAUUAGCUAGUAGGUGAGGUAACGGCUCACCUAGGCGACGAUACAUAGCCGACCUGAGAGGGUGAUCGGCCACACUGGGACUGAGACACGGCCCAGACUCCUACGGGAGGCAGCAGUAGGGAAUCUUCGGCAAUGGACGAAAGUCUGACCGAGCAACGCCGCGUGAGUGAAGAAGGUUUUCGGAUCGUAAAGCUCUGUUGUAAGAGAAGAACGGGUGUGAGAGUGGAAAGUUCACACUGUGACGGUAUUUUACCAGAAAGGGACGGCUAACUACGUG
rnacentral:rRNA from 1 species